rnacentral:pre_miRNA from 1 species
AAUAGUGUAAGAAGAAAGAAAAAAAGGGGUCAGGAUAACGUCUUAAACUCAGCUGUGUUGAGUUUGAGACGUUGUCCUGAGCUGACUUUUCAGCUGAGUUGAGUUUGAGACGUUGUCCUGAGCUGAGUUUGAGACGUUGUCCUGUCCCCUUUUUUCUGUCUUCUUACACUUUUU